rnacentral:miRNA from 1 species
AUUAGGUUGGUGACAAAAGUAACUGCAGUUUUUUGACAUUACUUUUAAUGGCAAAGACUGCAAUUACCUUUGCACCUACCUAAU